GGUCUAUGAUGAUUUUAGUGGAAUUCAUUAAUGAUUAUUCAUUGAUUACGAACACACUACUGCCUUCCUUCUGAGGCU